rnacentral:tRNA from 1 species
ACUUCUUUAGUAUAACCAGUACAAUUGACUUCCAAUCAGUUAGUUCCAGAUCAAGUCCGGAAAGAAGUA